CGAGUUUCGAUGUCUCAAAGUUCUGAAGCUCUAUAUUAGAGGAGUGCCGCUUCCUGGCUCUAUUCUAGUGUAGCUUAAGCUACCGCUUCCGUCUUUGUUCUCGAAAACAUCCAGUAACCAACCCAAUUCAGUUUUUCAGACAAAUAAUGGAUGAGGAGAAGGUUAAGAUUAGCACUGUGGUAAUUGGUCACGUUGGCUCGUGGACCGUAGAGUUAUUAUUAACAACGAUGUCAUUGACAGGCUUCAUGAGCAAGCCGCUCAAGUGAGGAGUUUAUUCACGCAUGCUUCGCCGCUUGACGAGCUCAAGGCUGAACGUAAGCGAUGUAUCACUACUUCCUCGUUGAAGUUUAAGAACAGGGACACGCGAUCUGCUCAAUUUUUUUCUCCAAUAUUCUUAAAUAUCUUUUUACUUAUUUACUUUUUGUACCCCUUAAAUACUAAAGUGGCCCAAUUUAGUCUAAUUUGGUCUUUAAAUCAAUAAAUCUUUCAUUUCCUGUAGAA